AUAAACGCUGGCGGCGCACAUAAGACAUGCAAGUCGAACGAACUUAAUUGAUUCUUUAAGAUUCAAAGCGGUUAGUGGCGGACUGGUGAGUAACACGUAAGUAAUCUACCUAUUAGAGGGGAAUAACAAUGAGAAAUCAUUGCUAAUACCGCAUAUGCCAAAAGGGUCGCAUGACCAAGUUGGGAAAGGAGAAAUCCGCUAAUAGAUGAGCUUGCGACUGAUUAGCUAGUUGGUGAGGUAAAGGCUUACCAAGGCGACGAUCAGUAGCCGGAUUGAGAGAUUGGACGGCCACAUUGGGACUGAGAUACGGCCCAGACUCCUACGGGAGGCAGCAGUCGGGAAUAUUGCGCAAUGGAGGGAACUCUGACGCAGUGACGCCGCGUGCAGGAAGAAGGUUUUCGGAUUGUAAACUGCUUUAGACAGGGAAGAAAGAAAUGACAGUACCUGUAGAAUAAGCUCCGGCUAACUACGUGCCAGCAGCCGCGGUAAUACGUAGGGAGCGAGCGUUAUCCGGAAUUAUUGGGUGUAAAGGGUGCGUAGACGGAAGAACAAGUUGGUUGUGAAAUCCCUCGGCUUAACUGAGGAACUGCAACCAAAACUGUACUUCUUGAGUGCAGGAGAGGUAAGUGGAAUUCCUAGUGUAGCGGUGAAAUGCGUAGAUAUUAGGAGGAACACCAGUGGCGAAGGCGACUUACUGGACUGUAACUGACGUUGAGGCACGAAAGUGUGGGGAGCAAACAGGAUUAGAUACCCUGGUAGUCCACACCGUAAACGAUGGAUACUAGGUGUAGGGGAUAUUAAGUCCUCUGUGCCGUCGCAAACGCAGUAAGUAUCCCACCUGGGGAGUACGGCCGCAAGGUUGAAACUCAAAGGAAUUGACGGGGGCCCGCACAAGCAGUGGAGUAUGUGGUUUAAUUCGAAGCAACGCGAAGAACCUUACCAGGGCUUGACAUAUAAGUGAAUAAUUAAGAGAUUAGUUAGACCUUCGGGACACUUAUACAGGUGGUGCAUGGUUGUCGUCAGCUCGUGUCGUGAGAUGUUGGGUUAAGUCCCGCAACGAGCGCAACCCCUGUCCUUAGUUGCCAGCAUGUAAAGAUGGGAACUCUAAGGAGACUGCCGGUGAUAAAUCGGAGGAAGGUGGGGACGACGUCAAAUCAUCAUGCCCUUUAUGUCCUGGGCUACACACGUACUACAAUGGCUAUAACAGAGGGAAGCAAGACAGUGAUGUUAAGCGAAACCCGAAAAGUAGUCUCAGUUCGGAUUGAAGGCUGAAAUUCGCCUUCAUGAAGCCGGAAUUGCUAGUAAUGGCAGGUCAGCAUACUGCCGUGAAUACGUUCCCGGGCCUUGUACACACCGCCCGUCACACCAUGAGAGUUGGGGAUACCCGAAGCCUGUGAGCUAACAGUUUACUGAAGCAGCAGUCGAAGGUAGAAUCAAUGAUUGGGGUG
rnacentral:rRNA from 1 species